rnacentral:rRNA from 1 species
CCUACGGGAGGCAGCAGUGGGGAAUAUUGCACAAUGGGCGAAAGCCUGAUGCAGCAACGCCGCGUGAGUGAUGAAGGCCUUCGGGUCGUAAAACUCUGUCCUCAAGGAAGAUAAUGACGGUAUUUGAGGAGGAAGCCCCGGCAAACUACGUGCCAGCAGCCGCGGUAAUACGUAGGGGGCUAGCGUUAUCUGGAUUUACUGGGCGUAAAGGGUGCGUAGGGGGUCUUUGAAGUGGGGAGUGAAAGGCUAGGGCUCAACCGUAGUAAGCUCUUGAAACUGGUGAACUUGAGUGCAGGAGAGGAGAGUGGAAUUCCUAGUGUAGCGGUGAAAUGCGUAGAUAUUAGGAGGAACACCAGUUGCGAAGGCGGCUCUCUGGACUGUAACUGACGCUGAGGCACGAAAGCGUGGGGAGCAAACAGGAUUAGAUACCCUAGUAGUC